GAUGAAGAACGGAGCGAAAUGCGAUAAGUAGUGUGAAUUGCAGAAUUCAGUGAAUCAUCGAAUCUUUGAACGCACAUUGCGCCUCCUGGCAUUCCGGGAGGCAUGCCUGUUCGAGCGUCAUCAAACCCCAUCGUGCAAAUGAGUUAUUUUUUUUGCGCGGAAGUGACGAUUGAGCGAGAAUAACAAAUCCUCUCGCACCUCGUCGAAAUGAUUGCGGGCGGAAUUUGGGAUCGGGUUCCUCGGCGUAGUGUAUCAAUGCAUAUUUAUGCAACCUGCCGCGGAGUUGAGCCUGACCCACGCGUUCUCGCCGUACAAACACCUCAUUACUUUACAAGUUUUUGACCUCGGAUCAGGUAGGGAUACCCGCUGAACUUAAGCAUAUCAAUAAGCGGAGGA
rnacentral:misc_RNA from 1 species